AGCUUGAGAACCUUCACAGUAGAAGAUACCAGCCCUGUGCCGACUGUGAUGCUUACAAUGAAUCAUUGAAUAAAUUAUUACCAUCCACGGAGGCUGCUCUUUGGAUAAUUAGCAAUUUCAAUCUAAGAAAGAUUCUGUAAAGUACACUUCAGCUUCAGCAUCAAUAGACAAAACGCCAGGCUUUUUAAAAAGACUAGAAGUUUAACGCAAGGCAGAAGACUCUUCUUUGCUGCAUUGUGACCAAGACUUAAGCUUAAACGAAAAGAAUACAAUCAAAUGUUUUACAGCCUUUCACAAAACACUCAAGACGGUUUACCAACUCCAGUAACAAGAGACCAGGAAUCAUUCAAAAAUCAUUUAAGCAGAUCAUUAC